GACGAACGCUGGCGGCGUGCUUAACACAUGCAAGUCGUACGGUAAGGCCCUUUCGGGGGUACACGCGUGGCGAACGGGUGAGUAACACGCGAGUAACCUGCCCACAACUUUGGGUUAACGCUAGGAAACUGGUGCUAAUACUUGAUAUGUGCUCCUGCUUCAUGGUGGGGGUUGGUAAGCUCCGGCGGUUGUGGAUGGACUCGCGGCCUAUUAGCUUGCUGGUGGGGUAGUGGCCUACCAAGGCGGCGACGGGUAGGCGGCCUGAGAGGGUGACCGGCCACAUUGGGGCUGGGAUACGGCCCCGACUCCUACGGGGGGCAACAGGGGGGGAUAUUGCACAAUGGGGGCGAGCCUGAUGCAGCAACGCCGCGUGCGGGAUGACGGGCUUCGGGUUGGAAACCGCCUUCAGCAGGGACGGAGCUUUUUGUGACGGUACCUGCAGAAGAAGCACCGGCUAACUACGUG
rnacentral:rRNA from 1 species